AUUGAACGCUGGCGGCAUGCCUUACACAUGCAAGUCGAACGGCAGCACGGAGCUUGCUCUGGUGGCGAGUGGCGAACGGGUGAGUAAUAUAUCGGAACGUACCCAAGAGUGGGGGAUAACGUAGCGAAAGUUACGCUAAUACCGCAUACGAUCUAAGGAUGAAAGUAGGGGACCGCAAGGCCUUGUGCUCCUGGAGCGGCCGAUAUCUGAUUAGCUAGUUGGUGGGGUAAAGGCUCACCAAGGCAUCGAUCAGUAGCUGGUCUGAGAGGACGACCAGCCACACUGGAACUGAGACACGGUCCAGACUCCUACGGGAGGCAGCAGUGGGGAAUUUUGGGACAAUGGGGGGCAACCCUGAUCCAGCAAUGCCGCGUGAGUGAAGAAGGCC
rnacentral:rRNA from 1 species